GAUGAACGCUGGCGGCGUGCCUAAUACAUGCAAGUCGAGCGAACGGACGAGAAGCUUGCUUCUCUGAUGUUAGCGGCGGACGGGUGAGUAACACGUGGAUAACCUACCUAUAAGACUGGGAUAACUUCGGGAAACCGGAGCUAAUACCGGAUAAUAUUUUGAACCGCAUGGUUCAAAAGUGAAAGACGGUCUUGCUGUCACUUAUAGAUGGCUCCGCGCUGCAUUAGCUAGUUGGUAAGGUAACGGCUUACCAAGGCAACGAUGCAUAGCCGACCUGAGAGGGUGGUCGGCCACACUGGAACUGAGACACGGUCCAGACUCCUAGGGGGGGCAGCAGUAGGGAAUCUUCCGCAAUGGGGGAAAGCCUGACGGAGCAACGCCGCGUGAGUGAUGAAGGUCUUCGGAUCGUAAAACUCUGUUAUUAGGGAAGAACAUAUGUGUAAGUAACUGUGCACAUCUUGACGGUACCUAAUCAGAAAGCCACGGCUAACUACGUG
rnacentral:rRNA from 1 species